rnacentral:lncRNA from 1 species
UGUUCCCAGUUCUGUGUGACACACAAUCAAACUCUAUUCCCUUUCCCUGUGACAUCAACAUUCUUGGCUGAGCCAUUGGAGGGGAACUCCUUUUCCACCCAAGAUAAACUGGAAUCUGGGGCUAGAAGCAUUCCCCUAGGGUCCCCACAGCCACAUUCUCCCACAAACUCCCACCUCCUCAGUCCCCAGAGUGCUUGAUUCCAGCCAUGUGGCUGCUCCUCAGGCCUUGCUGAGGUUGACGGCGGUGCAGCUGUAGCUCUUCACCAGCUCCCUGUGACAGCGGGAAACAGAUUGGAAGCACCAGGCAUCUGGUGUCAAUGGACGUGCACACAUGAACCGCUGAGGCUGGGAUCAUCUCUCCCUCUCUCUUCUCUUGUGACUCCCCCUACAAAACUGUACAUCAACAUUGAAAUUGUCCAUCUGGUCUUUCCUGGCAAUAGGCUCCUUGUGAUAACAUAUUUCAUUAACAGUGCUUGGAGAUGGCCUGUGAACCCAGGAAGCAAAGGACCCUGGCCACUGAUGGCCAGCUCAGGCCAAGCAUAAUGGGGAAUUUGGACAAAUAGACCCAGCUUCAAACACUGGCUCUGCCCCUGCUGGCUUUAUAACUUUGGGCAAAUUUGUCUCUCUCAGCUUCUAUUUUCUCAUGUGGCCUUUGUGAGGAUAUAAUAAGAAAACCUACAUAAAUCCCCAGUCUGGAGUAGGUUCUUGGUGGGAAGGAAUGAUUGUAAGGACCUCUUCCAGUUCCAACCUCAUGGGAUUCUUGUGGUGCUGAUCUCCAGGUCCCUCCUUGUUUUGCAAGACGCUGCCCUAGGCCUCUCUCCAGCCCCAGUUACAACCGGAGCAGAGAGCAUGGGGCCCCUUCUCACUAUCCAUUCCUGCUCCACUUAAGAAUCUGCAUCUCCAGAGAGAAGGACGCUGUGCAGAGCUCCACCUCCAGUCACCUGAGCACAUGGGCGCAAAUGACGUGACUUUUCUCUGUCAUGAGAAUCCAUCGGAGACUGAACUAAGUAAACUUUUAUUUCCAUAUCUCAUUCUCUUGAAGAGAACACAGUCAUAACUCCACAGAGAAUAAACAUACGCAGUCUAAUCUUUCUCCUUGCUGGGACAGUUUGUUGAAAUUGGUGAAAUGAUGCAGGCCCCGCUGAAAUGGCUUGA